rnacentral:rRNA from 2 species
UGGGGAAUAUUGGGCAAUGGGGGAAACCCUGACCCAGCAACGCCGCGUGAGGGAAGAAGGUCUUCGGAUUGUAAACCUCUUUUACCAGGGAAGAAGAACGUGACGGUACCUGGAGAAAAAGCCACGGCUAACUACGUGCCAGCAGCCGCGGUAAUACGUAGGUGGCAAGCGUUGUCCGGAUUUACUGGGUGUAAAGGGCGUGUAGGCGGGAAGACAGGUCAGAUGUGAAAUGUCGGGGCUCAACCCCGGAACUGCAUUUGAAACCGUUUUUCUUGAGUAUCGGAGAGGCAGGCGGAAUUCCUAGUGUAGCGGUGAAAUGCGUAGAUAUUAGGAGGAACACCAGUGGCGAAGGCGGCCUGCUGGACGACAACUGACGCUGAGGCGCGAAAGCGUGGGGAGCAAACAGG